rnacentral:lncRNA from 1 species
GCAAGAGGUAUUCUGCUGGUUUGGUGGAAGUGGGAAUCUCUGAAGACCAGAUUAUGUAUAAUUAAUUCACAUAGUUAUUGAGGACUUACAGUAUGCCUGUGCUGUGCCAGCUGCAGGAGUUACACCGGAAAACCAGAGUGGCUGUGUCCCUCACCACAUGAAGUCUAUGAACAGAAGGGCAAUGGGGCACAUUGGUAGACUCCAACUGGGCCAGAGAAUUUACAGGCUAAGAUAACCUCCAGUUCCUUCAUUUCUAUUGUUUGCAGAAGUCUGGCGAAGGGAAACAAGGUGUGGAAAAACAAGAGAAGAAAGCUGUUGUACUUCUGCCUGUCUCCACAAGGACCCCACCUGUACGUAGGAAAGAUGGACAAGACUGUAAAGUAACUUGAAGAUAGAGACUGUGUGUGGAUUUCUAUGGCUUCAGUGGCACCAAACACAGCACUGUGAUUUAAAGAGGAUGUUCAGCAAGAUUUCUUAAGGAAACGACACUCAAGGCUAGCGAUGUGCAGUGUGAUACUCUCGCAAUCUGGGCAGCAGCAUCAAGCCGCAGCUGUCAAUCAGCCACGCCAUCACGAGGGUAAAGGCGAUACUCUCCCAUGGACUGUGAUGCAGAUGAUUCUGUUCAACUGGAGGCCAGUACACGCUCACGGCUCAAUACAGGCAAAACCAGGCCACAGCUCACCCUGCCAGGAGAAUCCACACCUACAGAGGGGAUGCCGCCCUCCAGCAGCCCUAAAAGAAAUUUCUUUCAAGAAACUUGGCUUCAUACCCGUGCCAAAGCACUAUGAAGAGAGGUCCUCUUUCGUUCCGUUCAGUGCAGCAGUUGAAAAAGGAAAGGGAGGUAUGUUUUUAUGGAAACCUCAAACGCCCCUCCACAUCUCCUGUGAAUUACCUCUGUGUUCAGGCAGCCGAGCUAGACAGCUGCGAGGAGAGGCAUGUGUUUUUGAUGGGGGCCUUGGAAAGAAAAGGCCCCUUGUACCCUGGCCAAGGCAUGUAGGUGGUGUGACCUGGGAGGACAGCAGGGCCAGGAGCUCCCCAGCUGUGGCGGAAGCCAGGCUCCCAGGGGCAAUGUUCCAGUGA